UCGUAGGUACCUCGUUGGUACAUAU
rnacentral:sRNA from 1 species